GAGGAAAAGGAAGCCCGCUGAGGGAGUCCAUCUUGUUACCUCCUAGGCCAGGGCAGAGGGCAGAGGGUAGAGUGUGGGUUGCAGGGAAAGUGGAAGAUACACUCCUCUCCCCACUGUAGGGGAAGAAAAACUCUUCCUCUCCCAUCUUAGAUUUAGUGAUUGGGGACCCGUGAAUGAAACUGACAAAAGACAGAUUAGCAAGAGAGAAAAACAGAUUUAAUCAUUGUUUAAGGAACAUGCAGAGCCCUUCUGAGCACUCAUGGAGAAGAUUCUAUGUACAAGCAUAAAAGUUUUUCGGAAUUCAAGAAGAAAAUGAGUUACUCAGGUGUGUGCGUGCGUUUUCCAGAUGGGAGAAAGAGCAAAACAGAUAAGGUGAUAGAAUUUCCAUUGUUAGAUGCCUCUUGUUUGUCUGUGAACUACGCAUGAAGGAGCUAUCCUGAGCCACGAAUACUGAAAACACUUGAGUGCUUUUCCACGUGUGAAAACCUUACCCUUUGAAAAAUCCAAGGCCCACCCUGGGCCACACAUGUCGAAUCUGAGCUCAGCUGUUAGGCAGCUCCUCACCUGCGCCAACAGCGAAAGCAAAAGUGGUUCGGCACAGACAUUGUUUAAAAUGGCUGCGUUAAAAAUACCAUCUCGGCUUCACAGAUUUCUGGAGCUGUGAGGAGCAUCCUCAUUUAUGUGCUCUGAUGAAGAUCCAUCUAGCACAAUAUCAAUGAUGAACUGGACCAGUGUCAUAUUCUGCAGCAUAUCAAGGCAAUCAAGAUCAUCCUGGACUGUAUUAUGACAGAGGGCCAGGGAGUGAACAGAGCCCUUAUAAUAUAUGCAGUUUCUCUUGCACGUGAAGGCAA